GCGCCCCCUAGUGUACAGGUGUCUGCAUUCACACACAGUGCCCCCCUAGUGUACAGGUGGUGUCUGCAUUCACACACAGCGGCCCCUAGUGUACAGGUGGUGUCCACAUUCACACACAGCGCCCCCUAGUGUUCAGGUGGUGUCCACAUUCACACACAGCGCCCCCUAGUGUUCAGGUGGUGUCCACAUUCACACACAGCGCCCCCUAGUGUACAGGUGGUGUCUGCAUUCACACACAGCGCCCCCUAGUGUACAGGUGGUGUCUGCAUUCACACACAGCGCCCCCUAGUGUUCAGGUGGUGUCCACAUUCACACACAGCGCCCCCUAGUGUACAGGUGUCCACAUUCACACACACACAGCGCCCCCUGCUGUACAGGAGGUGUCUAUUCACGCAUGGCGCCCCCUACUGUACGGGCGGACUUCAUGCACCGUGUCCUCCACACACACCGCACCCCCUACUGUACAGGAGGUGUCCGCAUUCAUACACACGGCGCCCCCUACAGUACAGGAGGUGUCUGUAUUCACACACAUGGCGCCCCCUGCUGUACGGGCGGACUUCAUGCACCGUGACCUCCACACACACACGGCGCCCCCUCUAGUACAGGAGGGGCUCACCCACUGUGACCUUCUGCUCAGAGCGCCCCCUUCAGUAGUGGAGGUGUUCACGCAUCGUGGCUUCCGCACAGAGCGCCCCCUUCAGUGCGGGAGGGGGUUGGGCACUGUGACCUCCACACACACAAACACAGCGCCCCCUACAGUAGUGGAGGUGCUCACGCCCCGCACAGAGCGCCCCCUACAGUAGCGGAGGUGUUCACGCCCUGCACAGAGCGCCCCCUACAGUAGCGGAGGUGUUCACGCCCCGCACAGAGCGCCCCCUUCAGUAGCGGAGGUGUUCACGCAUCGUGGCCUCAACACAGAGCGCCCCCUUCAGUAGCGGUGGUGUUCAAGCCCCGCACAGAGCGCCCCCUUCAGUAGCGGAGGUGUUCACGCAUCGUGGCUCCCGCACAGAGCGCCCCCUUCAGUGCGGGAGGGGGUUGGGCACUGUGACCUCCACACACACAAACACAGCGCCCCCUACAGUAGUGGAGGUGUUCACGCCCAGCACAGAGCGCCCCCUACAGUAGUGGAGGUGUUCACGCCCAGCACAGAGCGCCCCCUACAGUAGCGGAGGUGUUCACGCCCCGCACAGAGCGCCCCCUUCAGUAGCGGAGGUGUUCACGCAUCAUGGCCUCAACACAGAGCGCCCCCUUCAGUACGGGAGGGGAUCGGGCACCAUAGCCGUACAUCAGACUCGUUCGUACCUGAUAGGGCGCCUGCUCCGGGUGCGGCCACUCUGUGGGCAUAGAGCCGCCCAACAAGGGGUCAACAGGCCGGACAUUGUAACGUUUACGUCCAAUACAGAUCCAGACGCUG